AACAAGAAGCAUGUCCAGCCUCCAGGGCUAAUAAGAGCACAUUGUCCUUGGUGGCAAGAGGGAGCACCUUGCUUUAUCUAUGCAUUUCCUGGCAAGCAGCAGUGGGGGAGAAAGAGACAUGUCUCACUGCCCAGUCCCUGGCAAGCCAAAUCAUUCUACAAUCUCUGAAACUGAAGACACAAAAUCAUCAAUGGAACAGUGCUGAUUGGGUGAGAGGUGCAAAGAAAUCAGCUCUCCACUACACGAGCCAUCCUCCAGCUCACAACUGGUACAAGUGUGACUCAUUGCACAGCCAGAGGUUAUAAUGAAGUAUCCCACUCAUCCUUUAGCUCACCCUUUGUUCAAGACAAUGCAGAUUGCAGAAGGUUUCUGAGGAGGAGUAUCUGGGAUAAGUUGCUGGGAAGAAGGAAUAAGGAGCACAGUUCUAUUGGAAAGAAUGUCUUGACGCUGAUUAUGAAAAUGACAUGGAAGUCAUGGGCUGAAUUAAAUAUUUUUCCGUGGUGGAAAAUUGAUGGGAAAGCUUCCUGGUAUUAACAGCUCAUGUGAAACAGAGGAAGAGAUCCUUUUAUCACAGAAGAAGAGUGUCAAAAUCCAGAGCUGUUCUGAAUCAAUUUGCUCUUUUAAUUGUCUUGUGCAGACGUCUGUCUCUGCAGCAGAAAUGCUGAGCUCAUGCUACAUGAAAACAAACCACAUAAACCUGAGGAGAUACAAACACAGUUUGUUCCUAACAGAAGGAGUUACAAAGCCACACACCUCAGUGUCCUGGCAACUCAUUUCCCACCCAGGGGGACGGAUCCAUGUCCUAUGUCCAGUCUGAGUACCACGGGGCAGUGGCAGGCAGGGGCAGAGCUAUUGAGGUACUUGGCUUUUUUAAACCUGCAACAUGGAGCUGUGGCAAUGCCAAAAGUGUCCCUGGUGUGCUUUGUCUCAUUGCUGGGGGGCAGGAACUGUGACUCAAAGGCUGUCCACUGGCAACACAGAAAACUACACCAAGAGCACUGGUUCAGCUCUGCCAUAUCCAAUUUCUGUCAUGUAUAGAAUAAUAGCUAUUCAGCGAGCUGGGACAUGCUCCACCAGCAUCAAUAGGGUUGUGCUUCAGAGCAUCCCUCGAGGUAGCAAAGAAUUAUCCCCAUUUUAUAAAUGAGGUAACUCAGGCUCAGGGAUUAAAGCCAGAAUGUUCCAAGCUGGCUGCCUACUGCUAGGUACCUACACCCAUAUUUACGCAACUCGUGGCCUGAUUUUCAGAAGGGCAGGGCAAUGAAAAUUUUGGCCUGAGGGGUUUGUUCACACACAGUUUACUGGUAACAACGCCCAGGAUGGAAGCCUCGUCUCUGCUACCUGUCUUACACCUUAACCACUGAAAACAUCCUUUCUACCACUGGCCAAGAGUUGGUGAAGGCUCCUGAGUGUCCCAAUUCACCAUGCAGAGGUUCAGAGUUAGCAAUGCAGACUGGCUGCCUACGUGCUCUCAGCUAGAGACUUUUAAAGAGCAACAGCAGGAGUAAAACUGGCCAUGUCCUGCUCACGAGGCUCCUGCUCAGCUGCUCUGUAGCUUCCCCCCACCCGGCGGGAGGACAGGCGACAGGAGGUGACAACCUUCAGCAAAGGUUAAGGCUGGAAAAGAAGGAAGUGUCAGCUCAAUCAGGUCAGCUCAGCCAACCAACUGCUGCUGUAAUCCCUCUGCCUCAGGUGCCUGUGCUGUUCUGUUUGUGCUCUGAAUGCUACUGUACAAGCAGCAAACUUGUCCCCAUGGGACUGUCAGCCUGCAGCAUUCAGACAGGGAGAUGGGGAAAAGGGGUAAAGAGGAAGCAGCUGAUCAUGAUAAUCUCCCAGAACUGUUUCUAGAUCCUUCUUUUGCAGUGUGUUUUGGGAGCAUGAACUUCAAGAUGGACUUUACUCCUACUGAAGUUCAGAAGUCCAGACUUUGCACCUUCUGAUUUCCCCAGAAGAGGGCUGAGAGCUAGAUCCAAAUCAAUUCUUAUGCUGGAGAUCAUCUCCAUAUUCACAGCAAACCCAGAAGCUUUGAG